rnacentral:rRNA from 1 species
GCCAGACUCCUACGGGAGGCAGCAGUGGGGGAUAUUGCACAAUGGGGGAAACCCUGAUGCAGCGACGCCGCGUGGGUGAAGAAGCGCCUCGGCGCGUAAAGCCCUGUCAGCAGGGAAGAAGAAAUGACGGUACCCGAGUAAGAAGCACCGGCUAAAUACGUGCCAGCAGCCGCGGUAAUACGUAGGGGGCAAGCGUUAUCCGGAAUUACUGGGUGUAAAGGGAGCGCAGACGGCAGUGCAAGUCUGGAGUGAAAGCCCGUGGCUUAACUACGGGACUGCUCUGGAAACUGUGCAGCUAGAGUGCAGGAGAGGCAGGCGGAAUUCCUAGUGUAGCGGUGAAAUGCGUAGAUAUUAGGAGGAACACCGGUGGCGAAGGCAGCCUGCUGGACUGUAACUGACGUUGAGGCUCGAAAGCGUGGGGAGCAAACAGGAUUAGAUACCCCGGUAC